GGGUGGAUGGGUGGAUGGAUGUGUGGAUGAAUGGAUGAAUGGAUGAGUAGAUGGGUGGGUGGAUGGAUGAGUAGAUGGAUGGAUGGAUGGGUGGGUGGGUGGAUCAGUAGGUGGACUGGUGGAUGGAUGAGUAUAUGGAUGGAUGGAUGAUGGAUGGAUGAGUAGAUGGAUGGGUGGAUGGAUGGGUGGAUGGGUGGAUGGAUGGGUGGGUGGAUGGAUGGAUGGAUGCAUGGAUGAGUAGAUGGGUGGGUGGAUGUGUGGAUGAGUAGAUGGAUGGAUGAGUAGAUGGAUGGAUCAGUAGAUGGAUGGAUGGUUGAGCAGAUGGAUGAAUGGAUGAGUAGAUGAAUGGAUGGACGGACAGAUGUACAGAUGGAUGGACGGACGGAUUACACUAUUACAUCAUAAGUAAUUAUAAGCCAGCUUUUUUGUGUUUAUAGAGUUGUAACUUAGCUCAAGCAGUUGAAUAUUCAAGAGUGCUUGGAAAUGAUGUCAUGACAGUCCUGGGUAAUGCUAAAACCCCUAUAUGUUUUGGGGGCAGAGCUGUGUAUACAGGAUUGGAGGAGGAGAAAGGGGGUGAUCUCUCACGGAGUAAAAAUUUCAAUCUUAACUGACCUCCACCUAUUUAACCCGUAAAGACCUAAUCUUGCCACUUUUUGACACAUCUCACUUAAUGCACCUUUAAAGUGUUGCGAGAUGGACCGGUGUAAUCACUUUGUAAUCCACAAGGUGGCGAUAUUCUGCUAGGGCCAUUUAGCAGAACUACACUGACCUGCACGGUGAUCUGAAGCAUUGUGUUCCUGGAUAAAUGCUUCCUCUGAUUUCUCAGUCUAGUUGAAAACUGAAUGAUUGAUUGAUUUUUUUUUGCAAAUGAUUUCUCACGUCCAGGAUUUGAAGUGUGUUUGAUGCUGCAGCUGAGGUCAUGUAAAGGACAGAGCACGGAUGAUGUGGAAACUAUGCACCGAUAGCGUUCUCUCUCCCUGCCACCUUCCUUCCAGUGAUUUUACUGUGCGCGCUCGUCAUUGCAUCAGCUGUGUUGCCUCAGACGUGUGUCGCCUCACUGCUAUAAGAGACGAAGAGGCAGGGAGAGCGAGAGUUACGACAGAUACGUGGCCGACCAGAAAUACCUGCUUACAAAGACAAACCGUGUGACACGACGGCGAAGUGAUGGAAGAGAAAGGGAACAAAAGAGAGGCCCGGAAAUCCGCCGGAUUUUCUGGCAGAAAAGAAAAGAGCCUAAGCAUAAUAGCAUGAAGUGGAACAGCUGACUGAAUUUCACCCCUUUUUCCUUUCACAUAACUGCCCAUGAGCUCUCUCUCACACACUCGCUCGCACACAACCCACACGGCUGUCACGUCUCGGCGCUGUCAAUCAGACAUCGGUCUACCGCGUAUCGUGUCUCGGCCUGUCAAUCUCCCAGAACCCCCCUUAGCAUUCCUCUCUCUCUAUCCCUGUGUCUCUCUCCUGAUGAGGAGAACCCACGUUGCCACACACACACACACACUCAGUCAAAGCAAACUGUACAAUACAACACACACACACACACACACACACAUCUGAGAGGUGUGCAAGUCUGUGUGUGAGAAAGAAUGCAAGGCAUGUAUGAAAAGUGAAGGUCACUGGAGAUAAAAGCUGGAAUGGGGAAUAUGUGUAUGUGUGUGUGUGUGUGUGUGUGAAGAAAAUGGCAGAAUGAAAAAGUGCCAGAAUUCAAUACAUCCCUACCAAAAUCUUCAUCAUCAAAACAGCAUCUUCAUACAUCCAGACUGGAGUAUGAGCGUAUGAGCGUACUAUUUAUA
ensembl:lncRNA